AUUGCCCAUGAUGACUCCAUAGACCUGUACCGAUUGCGGAUAUGAUCGCACUAAUUAACAUCUAAGGGGCUGAGGUUUA